rnacentral:lncRNA from 1 species
ACUCGAACAACCAAUUUCCACAGGGCUCUAUUGAGGCAAAAUUUGAACCCCCAAGCAGGUUGGUCAUAGUCUGAAACAGGUAGUAGCCACUUGGCAUUAGGUCUGGAAUAUAUCGGCCUCGUAUACAUUGUAAAAUUGUCUGGGUCGCUUUCAACAUGUUUUUCCCCUUCAGGCCAACUAAAAAGUCAACAAGGAUGUUUACUUCAAGGUCCUGAAGUAUCAUGACUUGCCACGGUUGAAAAGUACGUUCUCCAGGGACAACUACGUGUUGACACAAGACAGCGCCCAGGCACACACCCAAGGAGGUGCAACAUUUCAGUAGGGAGAGCAUGGCUGCCUAUUGGUCGGCAGAAUUCUUGCCUUCGUCCUCACCUGACGUGAACCUCCUGAACUUAGCUGUUUGGUGCAUCUUGGAGGGCAAAACGAACAAGACUUCUGACCCGAGUGUCGAUGCCCUUAAAGCAGUGAUCACGGAGGAACGGAACAACUUGUCCUCGGACUUCAUCAAUGCUUGCUGUGUUUCUGUUCGUCUUCGUAUUGAAUCCAUCAUUGAGAAUGGAGCGGGACAUAAGGAAUAAAAAGUGUCGAAAAUUGUGAGCUGUAAAAACGGGAGUCACUUAUGAAAUGUAUCUGUAUAUACUAAAAAGUAAUUUGAAAUGAAUUUAAAAA